rnacentral:rRNA from 1 species
AUUGAACGCUGGCGGCAGGCUUAACACAUGCAAGUCGAGCGCAGGAAGCCAUCUGAACCCUUCGGGGGGACGACGGUGGAAUGAGCGGCGGACGGGUGAGUAACACGUAAAGAACCUGCCCAUAGGUCUGGGAUAACCACGAGAAAUCGGGGCUAAUACCGGAUGUGUCAUCGGACCGCAUGGUCCGCUGAUGAAAGGCGCUCCGGCGUCGCCCAUGGAUGGCUUUGCGGUGCAUUAGCUAGUUGGUGGGGUAACGGCCCACCAAGGCGACGAUGCAUAGCCGACCUGAGAGGGUGAUCGGCCACACUGGGACUGAGACACGGCCCAGAAUCCUACGGGAGGCAGCAGUAGGGAAUCUUCCACAAUGGACGAAAGUCUGAUGGAGCAACGCCGCGUGAACGAUGAAGGCUUUCGGGUCGUAAAGUUCUGUUGUAAGGGAGGAACAAGUGCCGCAGGCAAUGGCGGCACCUUGACGGUACCUUGCGAGAAAGCCACGGCUAACUACGUGCCAGCCGCCGCCGUAA